AGAGUUUGAUCAUGGCUCAGCCUGAACGCUGGCGGCGUGGCUAAGACAUGCAAGUCGUACGGGUGUAGUAAUACACCAGUGGCGAACGGGUGAGUAAUGUAUCGCUAACGUGCCCUCCGGUUUGGGAUAGCCGUCCGAAAGGACGGGUAAUACCAGUUAAGACCACAAUCCCGCAUGGGAUGGUGCUCAAAGGGAAACCGCCGAAGGAGCGGGCGAUAUCGUAUCAGCUAGUUGGUGAGGUAACGGCUCACCAAGGCGACGACGCGUAGCCGGGCUGAGAGGUCGGCCGGCCACAUUGGGACUGAGACACUGCCCAGACUCCUACGGGGGGCUGCAGUAACGAAUCUUCCGCAAUGCACGCAAGUGUGACGGAGCGACGCCGCGUGGAGGACGAAGUUCUUCGGAAUGUAAACUCCUGUCAGGGGCAGCCAAGUUCUGAGGCGCCCCAGAGGAGGGCACGGCUAACUCUGUGCCAGCAGCCGCGGUAAGACAGAGGUGCCAAGCGUUAGGCGGAAUCACUGGGCUUAAAGCGUGUGUAGGCGGGCGGGCAAGUACCUUGUGAAAUCCCACGGCUCAACCGUGGAACGGCUGGGUAUACUGCCUGUCUUGAGCCAGCUAGGGGCGACCGGAACAGACGGUGGAGCGGUGAAAUGCGUAGAUAUCGUCUGGAACGCCAAAGGUGAAAACAGGUCGCUGGGGCUGAGCUGACGCUGAGACACGAAAGCCAGGGGAGCGAACGGGAUUAGAUACCCUAGUAGUCC
rnacentral:rRNA from 1 species